GCCUUAUUGGUUGGAGUGGGAGGAACAGGAAAACAGUCAUUAACAAGAUUGUCUGCCCACAUGUGUAACUAUCGCUGCUUCCAGAUUGAGCUCUUUCGAGGCUAUGACUAUUCUUCAUUCCACGAUGACCUGAAAAAAUUGUAUGAUACAGCAGGCAUUCAAA
rnacentral:sRNA from 1 species